ACGGAAGGGGCUAGCGUUGUUCGGAAUCAUUGGGCGUAAAGGGCGCGUAGGUGGUCUUAUAUGUCCGUCGUGAAAGUGCACGGCUCAACCGUGUUUGGUCGGCGGAAACUGUAAGACUUGAGGCUGGGAGGGGCUGGAGGAAUUCCCUGUGUAGCGGUGAAAUGCGUAGAGAUAGGGGAGAACACUCGUGGCGAAGGCGUCCAGCUGGACCAGUCCUGACACUGAGGCGCGAAAGCGUGGGUAGCAAACAGG
rnacentral:rRNA from 1 species